rnacentral:rRNA from 1 species
CUACGGGAGGCAGCAGUGGGUAAUAUUGCACAAUGGGCGCAAGCCUGAUGCAGCCAUGCCGCGUGUAUGAAGAAGGCCUUCGGGUUGUAAAGUACUUUCAGCGGGGAGGAAGGGAGUAAAGUUAAUACCUUUGCUCAUUGACGUUACCCGCAGAAGAAGCACCGGCUAACUCCGUGCCAGCAGCCGCGGUAAUACGGGGGUGCAAGCGUUAAUCGGAAUUACUGGGCGUAAAGCGCACGCAGGCGGUUUGUUAAGUCAGAUGUGAAAUCCCCGGGCUCAACCUGGGAACUGCAUCUGAUACUGGCAAGCUUGAGUCUCGUAGAGGGGGGUAGAAUUCCAGGUGUAGCGGUGAAAUGCGUAGAGAUCUGGAGGAAUACCGGUGGCGAAGGCGGCCCCCUGGACGAAGACUGACGCUCAGGUGCGAAAGCGUGGGGAGCAAACAGGAUUAGAUACCCCGGUAGUC